rnacentral:rRNA from 1 species
UACGUAGGGAGCAAGCGUUGUCCGGAAUCAUUGGGCGUAAAGAGCGCGUAGGUGGCUUUAUAAGUCCGUUGUGAAAGUCAAAGGCUCAACCUUUGAAAGCCGAUGGAUACUGUGAAGCUAGAGUACGGAAGAGGCGAGUGGAAUCCCUGGUGUAGCGGUGGAAUGCGCAGAUAUCAGGAGGAACACCAAUAGCGAAGGCAGCUCGCUGGGACGUUACUGACACUGAGGCGCGAAAGCGUGGGGAGCGAACAGG